GUCUAUGGCGGGCCGUGCGAGGCGGGCUUUUGCCCGACCGGUUGGUUGCUUCCGGGAUUCCACCCUUGCACGGUCCGCCUCCCUU
rnacentral:antisense_RNA from 1 species